rnacentral:tRNA from 1 species
GGGGUUGUGGCUCAGAGGUAGAGUGCUCACCUACCAUGAGUGAGGCAUUGGGUUCAAUCCUCAGCACCACA